rnacentral:lncRNA from 1 species
UAUGAGCAUCCACUUAGGAUCAGUCUGAAACAGUCCUCUUUGAUGUUGAUCUUUCUUCUCGAAGAACAAUCACCCUGCGAAUCUGAAUGAAGCCUGGAUCGCGAUCAACUCUUUGAUUCUUUUCUUGAUCUUUAUCUUCUCUUCUUCUCUUGCUCUUCUUUCCUUGAUUAUGAAGCAACCAAGAUCUGAAAACCAGCAAGAAAGAGGGGAUGCCCAAGCUCCUCUUGGGUGUGGAGAUGGAGGAUGCCCAACUCCUUUGGGCAUUGGAUCCAAAGGGGAGAAGAG